GAUGAACGCUAGCGGCAGGCCUAAUACAUGCAAGCCGAACGGCAAGUUUGAUAGCAAUAUUGGACCUAGAGUGGCGCAAGGGUGCGUAACACGUAUGCAACCUGCCCGCGACAGGAGGAUAGCUCCCCGAAAGGGGAAUUAACCCUCCAUAACACCAUGAGAAGGCAUCUGAUUAUGGGUAAACCGCAAGGGGGCGCGGAUGGGCAUGCGGGUGAUUAGCUAGUUGGCGGGGUAAAGGCCCACAAAGGCGGUGAUCAAUCGGGGUUCUGAGAGGAAGGUCCCCCACACUGGAACUGAGAUACGGGCCAGACGCCUACGGGAGGCAGCAGUAGGGAAUAUUGGACAAUGGUUGCAAGGCUGAUCCAGCCAUGCAGCGUGCAGGAACAAGGCCUUCUGGGACGUAAACUGCUUUUUACUGUGGAUAAAAUACCCGUGCGCGGGGAAUUGAAGGUAACAGGGGAAUAAGCCACGGCUAACUACGUG
rnacentral:rRNA from 1 species